rnacentral:rRNA from 1 species
CCUGCAUGAAGUUGGAAUUGCUAGUAAUCGCGAAUCAGAAUGUCGCGGUGAAUACGUUCCCGGGCCUUGUACACACCGCCCGUCACACCAUGAGAGUCGAUAACACCCGAAGCCUGUGAGCUAACCUUUUAGGAGGCAGCAGUCGAAGGUGGGGUUGAUGAUUGGGGUGAAGUCGUAACAAGGUAAC